rnacentral:snRNA from 1 species
GUGCUUUGGCAGCACAUAUACUAAAAUUGGAAUGAUAUGGAAAUUUGCAUGGCCCCUGCACAGGAAUGACGUGCAAAUUCAUGAGACGUUCCAUAUUUUU